UGGGAGAUGAGGAAAGAGUGUAAAUUGAAGAGGAGCUUAUACAAGACGAGUAGGGAUUUGGUCAGGGUUGGGGAGACAUGGAUGGUGAGGAAGAGGACCAAGGACCCAGCCACCCAUUAUUUUCUCCACCUCCUUCUGAGAGUAGCUAUCCAGGAAUAGCUUUAGGAAUCCUAGCAUGACAGAAAUGGCAUCCCCAGAUCCCAAGGUUGAAUCCCAGAAGGCCAUCCAUCUCUGAACUGUAGUUUCUGUAUCUGUCUGUGGGUUAGAAAUGAUCACUGUUCCCUGCCUUUGGGGUCGUCUCCCUCUUUUUUUCAUCAGGUAGCAUUGACUGAACAUCUACUGAAUGGAGGGCACCCGGUCUACAUUAAGGCAGUCAAAGCCCAGCUGAGUUGAGUUGGAAAUGACUAUGCACAAACAGGUGAUUUGGCUAAACCCACCUUUCCUUCUCCUUGAGUGGCAAGAGACACAGACAACUUAACCUAGGCCCUAAUAAAAUUACAGUAAAGACUGGUAAAGGAGAAGAGCCUAUAACAAAAAGCAAAAUGGGAGGGUCAGCAGCAGAGGAGACUUAAAAAAAACUUCAGAAGAUGGAUUGUAGACAGAAGUGUGCUGAGAAUGAAGUGGAGCUGAGAAGCUGCAGAAAUACUUGGAUCCCCACUGAUAUUCCGCAUGAGGAGUCAGGCAGUCUGGAGACAGCAGGUGAAGGAGGUAGAUGGCGGCUGCUUCUCACUGCUUGCGGUCCCGCUCUUCCCUUGUGGAUAACUAAGAUGACAGAGGAUAACUUCCUAGUCUGAGACCUGAUCUCCAUGCCAAAACACGGUCCACAAACUCUGAGGUAGGAGGAACACUUCCUAUGGGUAGGAGAGGUAGGGACAGAAUUGCCAAGUAUUGGAAGCUGGUGGUGGAAUGCGAUCUCUCAGGGAGAGACUACGUAGGGAAAGAAUGGCCUGGGGAAGGAGAGAGAAAGCUAAUUAGAAGGCAUAGGAUUUCUAAUGAGAUAUAUUUGUUGGUGGAAAGUCAUGGUUUGGAAGAAUGCCAGGCCUUUCCUGGUCCUGCGUUAUGUGGAGAAUGGGGGAUUAACACCCUGUACUUAAAAGGGCCCCAGAAUCUGUGUUCUCAGAAGAGAGCUAGUCUCUGUGAGGGGAGAGCAAAGACGGCCCUCUGGGUAGUGGCCAAAGGUAUAUGCUGGUUGGCCAUGAAACCAGGAUUCCAGAGAGCUCAGGGGGAAUGGCUGAGUGGAAGGGCAUCAGUGGAAAGCCUGGGGAUGGGGCCAGGUACAAACUAGUAUGGGGAUGAGUACACAGAAGCCUAGAGAGGUUUAGUUUGGGGAAGUGGCAAAAGAAAACAGAUAUGAGAGGCAUGGUAGGUUCCAACCGCAGCCUGAGAAGAAAGGCUGGAGACAUGGAGACCAAAGCCAAAUGACAUUUGCCAUUUGUGGACAGUCCAUUCUCUGGGAACACACUGUUUGAGAAGGCUCAGGCACAGGCAAGAGGGUCAGAGAUGACAGAUCCCUAAAAAGUACGCCACCACACUAGGAACCACGGCACGGGAAAAUCAAACAUCAGUGUGAUUUCUUGUUUUUGUCAGUAUGAUGGGCAAAGUUUUUCUUUCUUUUUUUUUUUUUAAGGCAGUACAUAAUAUUGAGACUAUGGCAGAAAAGACAACUUUCCCAUGCUGGUGGAAGCGAAGACAAACGUUCUGGAGAGCAGUAAAUGUCAAAAGCUGCAGAUUCUGCACAGGUUAUGGUUCAACAAUCUCAUUUUUGGGAAUUUAUUUUAAGAAAUAAAUAUGGAUGCUCACAAUGAUGGGAUUCUAAGGAUUUUAACAGCAGCACUGUUCACAGUAGCAAACAAUACAGGAAUUCAAAUGACCAACAAGAGGAUGAUACUUAAUAAAUGACGGUUUUUCUGUGAUGCUACACGACCAUGGGAAAUAAUGAUGAGGAAGUGUAUUUAAUUAUGUGACAGAUGCUAAGAAAAUAUCAAGAGCUUUGUGCACUGAGGAUGCCAUUUUUGUAAACAACAUAUAAAAGAUCAAAGGAAAUGUGCUGAAAUGUUACACAGUGAUCUCAGCUGAUGGGAUUAUAGGUCGUUUUUUU